rnacentral:rRNA from 1 species
UACAGAGGUGGCAAGCGUUGUUCGGAAUUACUGGGCGUAAGGGCGCGUAGGCGGUUCGUUAAGUCCUGUGUGAAAUCCCCCGGCUCAACUGGGGAACUGCACAGGAAACUAGCGGGCUUGAGUUCGGGAGAGGGAAGCGGAAUUCCGGGUGUAGCGGUGAAAUGCGUAGAUAUCCGGAGGAACACCGGUGGCGAAGGCGGCUUCCUGGACCGACACUGACGCUGAGGCGCGAAAGCCAGGGGAGCAAACGGG